UACGGGGGGGGCAAGCGUUGUUCGGAAUUACUGGGCGUAAAGGGCUUGUAGGUGGCCAACUAAGUCAGACGUGAAAUCCCCUCGGCUUAACCGGGGAACUGCGUCUGAUACUGGAUGGCUUGAGUUUGGGAGAGGGAUGCGGAAUUCCAGGUGUAGCGGUGAAAUGCGUAGAUAUCUGGAGGAACACCGGUGGCGAAGGCGGCAUCCUGGACCAAUACUGACACUGAAAAGCGAAAGCCAGGGGAGCAAACGGG
rnacentral:rRNA from 1 species